rnacentral:rRNA from 1 species
GGUUAAGCGACUAAGCGUACACGGUGGAUGCCCUGGCAGUCAGAGGCGAUGAAGGACGUGCUAAUCUGCGAUAAGCGCCGGUAAGGUGAUAUGAACCGUUAUAACCGGCGAUUUCCGAAUGGGGAAACCCAGUGUGAUUCGUCACACUAUCAUUAACUGAAUCCAUAGGUUAAUGAGGCGAACCGGGGGAACUGAAACAUCUAAGUACCCCGAGGAAAAGAAAUCAACCGAGAUUCCCCCAGUAGCGGCGAGCGAACGGGGAGGAGCCCAGA